CGCGUAGGCGGGAUGGCAAGUCGGUCGUGAAAUCCUUCGGCUCAACCGAAGAACGUCGGCCGAUACUGCCGUUCUUGAGGGAUGCAGAGGAGACUGGAAUUCCCGGUGUAGCGGUGAAAUGUGUAGAGAUCGGGAGGAGCACCGGUGGCGAAGGCGGGUCUCUGGGCAUCUCCUGACGCUGAGGCGCGAAAGCGUGGGGAGCAAACGGGAUUAGAUACCCCGGUAGUCCGCGCCAUAAACGAUGACGACUAGGUGUGGGGUGGUUCAGUCCACUCCGUGCCGCAGCUAACGCAUUAAGUCGUCCGCCUGGGGAGUACAGCCGCAAGGUUGAA
rnacentral:rRNA from 1 species